rnacentral:rRNA from 1 species
AUUGAACGCUGGCGGAAUGCUUUACACAUGCAAGUCGAACGGCAGCACGGGGCAACCUGGUGGCGAGUGGCGAACGGGUGAGUAAUAUAUCGGAACGUGCCCAAUCGUGGGGGGAUAACGUAGCGAAAGUUACGCUAAUACCGCAUACGAUCUACGGAUGAAAGCGGGGGAUCGCAAGACCUCGCGCGAAUGGAGCGGCCGAUAUCAGAUUAGGUAGUUGGUGGGGUAAAGGCUCACCAAGCCAACGAUCUGUAGCUGGUCUGAGAGGACGACCAGCCACACUGGAACUGAGACACGGUCCAGACUCCUACGGGAGGCAGCAGUGGGGAAUUUUGGACAAUGGGCGCAAGCCUGAUCCAGCCAUUCCGCGUGCAGGAUGAAGGCCUUCGGGUUGUAAACUAGCUUUUGUACGGAACGAAACGGUCUGCCCUAAUACGGCAGGCUAAUGACGGUACCGUAAGAAUAAGACACCGGCUAACUACGUGCCAGCAGCCGCGGUAAACAA